UACGUAGGGGGCAAGCGUUGUCCGGAAUCAUUGGGCGUAAAGAGCUUGUAGGCGGUUUGUCGCGUCUGCUGUGAAAUUUCGGGGCUCAACCCCGAACUUGCAGUGGGUACGGGCAGACUAGAGUGUGGUAGGGGAGACUGGAAUUCCUGGUGUAGCGGUGAAAUGCGCAGAUAUCAGGAGGAACACCGAUGGCGAAGGCAGGUCUCUGGGCCAUAACUGACGCUGAGAAGCGAAAGCAUGGGGAGCGAACAGG
rnacentral:rRNA from 1 species